rnacentral:rRNA from 1 species
CUUGGUCAUUUAGAGGAAGUAAAAGUCGUAACAAGGUUUCCGUAGGUGAACCUGCGGAAGGAUCAUUAUUGAAUAAACUUGGUUGGGUUGUUGCUGGCUUUUCGGAGCAUGUGCACGCCUAGCGCCAUUUUUUACCACCUGUGCACUUCUUGUAGAUUUGAAACACCCUCUCGAGGAAACUCGGUUUGAGGAUUGCUAAUGCGUAAAGCUAGGCUUUCCUUGCGUUUCAAGUCUAUGUUUUUAUAUACCCCAUAAGAAUGUUUUAGAAUGUCAUUAAUGGGCUUAAUUGCCUCUAAAUUAAUACAACUUUCAACAACGGAUCUCUUGGCUCUCGCAUCGAUGAAGAACGCAGCGAAAUGCGAUAAGUAAUGUGAAUUGCAGAAUUCAGUGAAUCAUCGAAUCUUUGAACGCACCUUGCGCUCCUUGGUAUUCCGAGGAGCAUGCCUGUUUGAGUGUCAUUAAAUUCUCAACCCUUUCAGCUUUUGCGAGCUGAAUUGGCUUGGAUGUGGGGGGUUUUUGCGGGCUUCUCAAGAAGUCGGCUCCUCUUAAAUGCAUUAGCGGAACCUUUGUGGACCAGCUUUGGUGUGAUAAUUAUCUACGCCAUGGUUGUGAAGCAGCUUUUAACUUGGGGUUCAGCUUUCUAACCGUCCUUUAACUUGGACAAUUUAUGACAUUUUGACCUCAAAUCAGGUA